UAAGCACCUGGGGGUGCAGGUGUACCAUGAACUCCACUGUGCAUAGUUACCAAUAGUUACCCAGCUACCUCUGAGCAAAGUGAUUCUCCUUCUCUGCAGGUUGCAGGGCUCCAGAUGGGUACCAGCAGCUAGUCCAUGUUUUGGCACAGAUUUGAACACUGAGAGGCCAACCAGAGUUCCCACCUGGCAUGCUCAACAAGCUGAAGACAGUUGAACAACCACAGCUGUCCUACUGUGGAUUGCACUUCACAUUCUUCCUGACCAGAUUCAGAGCACCUGUGUGUGUUUAUAAGUGAUGUGCAGACACCAGUGAGGGGCCCAACCAGCAGAGACUGAGUCUGGAUUCGAUCAUUCCGUGAAUUGAGUGGUUUUGGAUCGAGAGAUUUAAUCUGAGCCCAUUUCUUGUAAUGUAUUUUAAAGGUGAAAGGGCUUUUCUUCUGCCAAGAUGAGAGUAUAGGGCUGCAGGGAUUUGUAUUUCUCUUGCAGCUGUAGACAUCGCUAACAAACAUGGCCUCAAUUCUGGAAGCAUCCUAGCUGAAGCAGGUCUCUACCGUGACAUAGUGCUCCAUUACAGCUGGUCUUCAGAGGCAGAGUGAGCCCCACCAGCUGCAGCACAAGGUCAAAGAUGACAAAGAGAGCAUGUGCAGUAAUGUUUCCACACUGGUUUCCUGAACAUCCCUGCUGUACAAGCCUUUGUUAUUAGUGCCCUCUGUGCCAGGGGGAGAUUUUCAGGCUCCAGGGAGUUUAUUGGAAAAGGAAGUUUGUAGCGCCUUUCCUGAGGCCUAAAAUAUCUUAAUGUCCCUGCAAACAUCUGGUGGAUACUUUGAGGUGGAUCCUGUUAACAACCUGCACCAGGGAAGCUAAUGAUGAGGUGGGAAAGGUUGAGCAUAUAACUGAUUUAGCUUCUGACACAUAAAUCCAGCCAGUCAUUUUCUUCCACAGUGGCUUUAACUCCAUCAUCCAUGUAUUUUAAAUCAAGGUAUUACUGCCUAGGCAAAUUCCAAAAGAAAGUCUCCAAGGGAUGGUGUCUGAUGCACAUGGCAAGUCUUUGACCAGCAAGCAACAUUUUUCUUGGUCAUAGCCCCAAAAUCUGAAAAUCAUCAACCUGUUUCAGACAGACUUUUGCUAAGUCAUUUGUUAUGGAAACUUUGCCCCAUGUAUUCCUCUGACUGGCAGAGAUAAUAGUGAAUGUCUUUUCUAACAAAUGUGUAGUGUUGACAGUAUCUCUUUAAACUUAUUAUGUUAGAUUGUGAAAAUAUGGUUACUUUAAACAAAAAUAAAAAUCACAUUUGUUUCUUACCUAAA